GGAAUAUUUCUUUAGCACAUAAUUGUAGAAUUCCCGCUGUUCUAGUUUAGGGUUGCUUAUAGGGGUGGUACUAAUGGGUAAAAAAAUCCCUUGAGUGUUUAACAAAAAUUAGUAUAUGGGAUUGAUUAUUCUAUUUAUUUCAUUUCAAUUCAAGAUGUCUGUUUGGUAUUGGAAAUAUGGUGGUUAGGUACAUCAUUUAGGAUCAUCAUGAAUCUGGUUUGG
rnacentral:lncRNA from 1 species